rnacentral:rRNA from 1 species
UACGGAGGGUGCGAGCGUUAUUCGGAAUUACUGGGCGUAAAGCGCGCGUAGGCGGUCAGGCAAGUCGGGUGUGAAAGCCCUGGGCUCAACCUGGGAAUUGCAUUCGAAACUAUCUGACUCGAGUAUGGGAGAGGGAAGCGGAAUUUCCGGUGUAGCGGUGAAAUGCGUAGAUAUCGGAAGGAACACCAGUGGCGAAGGCGGCUUCCUGGACUAAUACUGACGCUGAGGUGCGAAAGCGUGGGGAGCAAACAGG